GCAUCGCUGGCUGCGGAGCUGCUGCAGCACGCCCAAGGUCUGAGCCUGUGGAUUCAGCAUGGAGUCCUCAUCUCCAGCAGCCACUGAGGCCCGUGGAUUCAGCAUGGAGCCCUCAUCUCCAGCAGCCAGGUGGAGCAGAACACUGAGAAAAGGGAAUUUGGUGCGUGACAGCAAGAUUCACCAGUGCCUCUUCCACAGCUGCAUAUCAGCCUGGAGGUAGUCACCCUGUCAGGAGUGUAAAAUUUACAGCAGAAAUUAUUUUAAUGCUGGAAAAGCUCUUACUCAUCUGAACCAUCAUUCAAAAUGCACAGUGGAAGCCGCCAAGCAGAAGUUUUCCAUCCCACUGUCUGCAGGACUCCUGCAGGUCUUCUGAUGCUUAAGCAUAUCUGUCUCAGGCUGCCCCUAAAAAGAACAGGAAGUAAUCUGGCACAAUGAACUCAGAACACACAGAGAGGAGCCACUGGAGACUGAUCUGCAAGGUAUUCAGUUUCCCUGAUGACAUGCAAAAUCAGAAUCUGUUAACCAUUGGCUGUUCCAGAUAUGAUGUCAAAGUCAGCACAGGAAACUUGAUGUAGUGUGGCUCAAAAGCAGAAGUAUUUUGAAACAGAGAAUUACUGGAGAAGCAAGUUAAAAACUAAAGAAGUGAAGAUUGGUCAUCUCUGCAGAGGAAAUUACAAGAAAAAAAACUGUUGAUACAUUCCUGACUGGUCUUUCUCAGAAGAAAUAGCUGCAGAAUGUGGAUGAAUGAAUCAAUUGUGUGGAAUUCCUAUUGGCAAGACCUUAGACCCUCAACUUCUGCUAGAUCCAGCUGAGUGAUCAAAGAGAGAACUUUUGCAGAUCCCCACAGCAGUGAUGCUGAAAGCCAGGGCAGAUGGCUUCUGUCCCCCUGCAGUGUGACCAAGUGACCUCAGGGUGAGACUUGCUGAGUGAACCAGCUCUCCUUGAUCCAUGUGGGGCUGAUGGAUGCAGCAUUCAUUGUGCUCUUUAAUUAACUAGCAAAAGGUUAGUUCACUGAUUAAGGUAGGCUGUUUGUUUAAAAGUUUGCUUACAUAUUCAAGCAGUGUUUAUAUUAGAAUACAGACUGAUAUCUCAGUUAUUCCCACUUCUUUAAAUCCACCCUGAAUAAGAAGUGUUGUUGUCUAUCAAACCAGGUGGCAGGGAAUAGCAACCCCCUCAAACUCAAGCAGAAGUUUGAAGCUACAGAAUCAAUUCAGAGCUGGGUUCCUGCUCAGUUAGGAGUGUUGCUGACUAGGCCACAGUUCCUCACAGUCUUGACAAAUUCAUUGCUCAGUAUUUGGGGCUUACCUAUGCAGAACUUGGCAAAUUCACUUAGAGAACCUCAGCUCUUCCCCAUUAGGAUAAUGGAGAAGUAUCUGGAAGCAUGUUAAACAGUCCCUUUAUUCAGCAUCCAUUCUGAGUCAUUGUGGUGCCUUUCCCAAAGCGACAAACUGUUUGAUAAGGUACAGUCAUGUAGGAGCUGGAAGUACACAAGUGCAGUUAUUAAAAAUGAAUGCUGUAUCCUGUUUCCCUUGUGUAUCUUGUCACUGACAUGACUUCACAAGUUGCAAAUCUAUUAAACAUUUCAAACAUGGAACUGGAGCUCAUUAAGCAGAAUGUUGACUGGUAUAUAGCAAACCGUUUCAAAUUCAAGACUGUUAACAUUUGUCUCCAGAGUUUUUUGUCUUCUAGGUUGUCACUAAGCAAUCCAGCUGUCUGGGAAUGCAGCCUGUGCUUCCUGUGAUCAGAAUGUGACUGUCCUUUGGGGUGAGGUAGUAGGUUGUAUAGUUUUAGGGCUAUGCCCUGCCUGUCAGAUAACUAUACAAUCUACUGUCUUUCCUGAAGUGGCUGUGAUGUCAGCGCUGGAUGGCUCCAAAAGCCAACACAGAUAUUUUUCAACUGUACCAUUCUCUGGCUCUGUCUGCAUGUUUGGUUCUUGUACACAAAUGUACUGUAACACUCCUCAGAGUGUUUAGAUUCCUGUAUUUCCCAUUCGGGCUCAAAAGCCAUUUCCUUGUGGCAUUUUUGGAGAGCAGGUGGGGUGUGAGUGCAGGACACAGAGGUACAGCCCAGCCUGCAGUGGAUUUGCUCACACCCAGCUGUGUGGGACUGCCAUGGGAGUGGCCACUUGGAAACAGCUGAUCCAUCUCUCCCUUGUUCUCUGCCAUCUGUGUUCAUAUUAAACAUAAAUGGUACUUUUGAUUCAGCAGCUGUUUAAAUCCACUUGGUGUAGGCUGUUUGAGAAACUCCAAAGGGAUGAGCUUGACAAAACCCUGAGAGGAUGUCUUCCCAGUCAAUCGUGUUCUGCCCUGGAAAUGGUAAAUAUUUGAACCCUGAGUAAGAGGUCUCUUCAGUCAGUUUUGGGCACUGAUUUAACUCACUUUUUAUUACAUAUUGCUACUUUGGGAGGCACAGUGUUUGCCACUGCUGUUCUCCUGUCUCUGCAGUCCCUCCACCAGUUCUGUCUGACUCCCAGGUGGAGCUGUGGGGAAGGGCUGAGGUCACACAGAGCCUCUCUAAGGCUAAGAAAUGUGUGGGCUGGAGAGUGAUCAGGUAAUUUACUUACAAAUGGUGAGAUGUUUCCUUCAGAAGAUGCACGUGAUGCUCUAACAGGAUGAGGUAGUAGGUUGUGUGGUUUCAGGGUAGUGAUUUUGCCCCAAUCAGGAGAUAACUAUACAACCUACUGCCUUCCCUGAUAGGCAGCAUAACGACCUCAGUGUCUUAAUUCACAGAGAAACAAGAGCUAAAAUACACUCCUGAGAUAUACUUCUGAGACCAGCAAAGUAAGUCUAGAUAUAGUUGUUGCUAUCCUGUCCCUAAUAGCUCUAAAUUUAAAUUUUAAGUGUAGAUUUUUCAAAACUGCCUGCAAAAUAAUUACCCUUUUUAAAGUCUUUAUCAUGAAAAAUUGAAUUAAAGAAGUUUUAUUUAUUUCAAA